rnacentral:misc_RNA from 1 species
UCUCCGUUGGUGUACCAGCGGAGGGAUCAUUACAGGACUCGCAAGACUCCUACAACCCUGUGAACUUAACUAUAAGCACGUUGCUUCGGCGGGUGUCUCGGAGGGGGUUCUCCCUCCCCGAGACGCUAAACCCGCCGGCAGCCUACUAUACUCUGUCUCUUUGCGUUGGCAUCUCGAGUACAAUCAAACAAGUUAAAACUUUCAACAACGGAUCUCUUGGUUCUG